rnacentral:lncRNA from 1 species
AGAUAGGGGCGAGCCGGGAGCUUACUUCGAGUAUUUAUGACUCUGGUGGCAACACGUGACAGGCGAAUGACAUGAUUCUCGAGGAGUUACACGACGGCCAUGUGAUGAUGCAUCAAAUAGAUGCAAGGGUGGAUGACUCAGUAGGUCCUUGUAUGGGCUGAUUGUGUUCCCCACAGGGAGAGCUUUAAAGGAAAUAGGAGUGGACAUCUAUAUGGGCUUCAUGUGAUUCGAAGCCAACCACUAUG